rnacentral:rRNA from 1 species
AACGUAGGACGCAAGCGUUAUCCGGAGUUACUGGGCGUAAAGCGCGGGCAGGCGGCUCGAAACGUCUGAUGUGAAAUCUCCUCGCUCAACGGGGAGAGGCCAUUGGAAACGGUCGAGCUGGAGGGCAGUAGAGGUAGGCGGAAUUCCGGGUGGAGUGGUGAAAUGCGUAGAGAUCCGGAGGAACACCUGCGGCGAAGGCGGCCCCCUGGUUGGAUACUGACGCUGAUACGCGAAAGCGUGGGGAGCAAACAGG